rnacentral:rRNA from 1 species
UACGUAGGGUGCAAGCGUUAAUCGGAAUUACUGGGCGUAAAGCGUGCGCAGGCGGUUUUGUAAGUCUGUCGUGAAAGCCCCGGGCUCAACCUGGGAAUGGCGAUGGAGACUGCAAGGCUUGAAUCUGGCAGAGGGGGGUAGAAUUCCACGUGUAGCAGUGAAAUGCGUAGAGAUGUGGAGGAACACCGAUGGCGAAGGCAGCCCCCUGGGUCAAGAUUGACGCUCAUGCACGAAAGCGUGGGGAGCAAACAGG